rnacentral:rRNA from 1 species
GAUGAACGCUGGCGGCGUGCUUAACACAUGCAAGUCGAACGAUGAAGCCCAGCUUGCUGGGUGGAUUAGUGGCGAACGGGUGAGUAACACGUGAGUAACCUGCUCUUAACUCUGGGAUAAGCCUGGGAAACUGGGUCUAAUACCGGAUAUGAGCGUCCACCCCACGGUGGGUGUUGGAAAGAUUUAUCGGUUUUGGAUGGACUCGGGGCCUAUCAGCUUGUUGGUGAGGUAAUGGUUCACCAAGGCGACGGCGGGUAGCCGGCCUGAGAGGGUGACCGGCCACACUGGGACUGAGAGACGGCACAGACUCAUUCGGGAGGCAGCAGUGGGGAAUACUGCACAAUGGGAGCACGACUGAUGGAGCGACGCCGCGUGAGGGAUGACGGCCUUCGGGUUGUAAACCGCUUUCCGUAGGGAAGAAGCGACAGUGACGGUACCUGAAGAAGAAGCACCGGCUAACUACGUG